rnacentral:rRNA from 1 species
AUUGAACGCUGGCGGCAGGCUUAACACAUGCAAGUCGAGCGGGGGAGGUUGCUUCGGUAACUGACCUAGCGGCGGACGGGUGAGUAAUGCUUAGGAAUCUGCCUAUUAGUGGGGGACAACAUUCCGAAAGGAAUGCUAAUACCGCAUACGCCCUACGGGGGAAAGCAGGGGAUCUUCGGACCUUGCGCUAAUAGAUGAGCCUAAGUCGGAUUAGCUAGUUGGUGGGGUAAAGGCCUACCAAGGCGACGAUCUGUAGCGGGUCUGAGAGGAUGAUCCGCCACACUGGGACUGAGACACGGCCCAGACUCCUACGGGAGGCAGCAGUGGGGAAUAUUGGACAAUGGGCGGAAGCCUGAUCCAGCCAUGCCGCGUGUGUGAAGAAGGCCUUUUGGUUGUAAAGCACUUUAAGCGAGGAGGAGGCUCUUAAGGUUAAUACCCUUGAUGAGUGGACGUUACUCGCAGAAUAAGCACCGUCUAACUCUGUGCCAGCAGCCGCAGUAACAC